rnacentral:rRNA from 1 species
GGCGGACGGGUGAGUAACACGUGGAUAACCUACCUAUAAGACUGGGAUAACUUCGGGAAACCGGAGCUAAUACCGGAUAAGAUUUUGAACCGCAUGGUUCAAUAGUGAAAGACGGCCUUGCUGUCACUUAUAGAUGGAUCCGCGCCGUAUUAGCUAGUUGGUAAGGUAACGGCUUACCAAGGCAACGAUACGUAGCCGACCUGAGAGGGUGAUCGGCCACACUGGAACUGAGACACGGUCCAGACUCCUACGGGAGGCAGCAGUAGGGAAUCUUCCGCAAUGGGCGAAAGCCUGACGGAGCAACGCCGCGUGAGUGAUGAAGGUCUUCGGAUCGUAAAACUCUGUUAUCAGGGAAGAACAAACGUGUAAGUAACUGUGCACGUCUUGACGGUACCUGAUCAGAAAGCCACGGCUAACUACGUGCCAGCAGCCGCGGUAAUACGUAGGUGGCAAGCGUUAUCCGGAAUUAUUGGGCGUAAAGCGCGCGUAGGCGGUUUUUUAAGUCUGAUGUGAAAGCCCACGGCUCAACCGUGGAGGGUCAUUGGAAACUGGAAAACUUGAGUGCAGAAGAGGAAAGUGGAAUUCCAUGUGUAGCGGUGAAAUGCGCAGAGAUAUGGAGGAACACCAGUGGCGAAGGCGACUUUCUGGUCUGUAACUGACGCUGAUGUGCGAAAGCGUGGGGAUCAAACAGGAUUAGAUACCCUGGUAGUCCACGCCGUAAACGAUGAGUGCUAAGUGUUGGGGGUUUCCGCCCCUUAGUGCUGCAGCUAACGCAUUAAGCACUCCGCC